rnacentral:rRNA from 1 species
UUAGUUGCAGGGUAUAGACCCGAAACCCGGUGAUCUAGCCAUGGGCAGGUUGAAGGUUGGGUAACACUAACUGGAGGACCGAACCGACUAAUGUUGAAAAAUUAGCGGAUGACUUGUGGCUGGGGGUGAAAGGCCAAUCAAACCGGGAGAUAGCUGGUUCUCCCCGAAAGCUAUUUAGGUAGCGCCUCGUGAACUCAUCUCCGGGGGUAGAGCACUGUUUCGGCUAGGGGGUCAUCCCGACUUACCAACCCGAUGCAAACUGCGAAUACCGGAGAAUGUUAUCACGGGAGACACACGGCGGGUGCUAACGUUCGUCGUGAAGAGGGAAACAACCCAGACCGCCGGCUAAGGUCCCAAAGUCAUAAUUAAGUGGGAAACGAAGUGGGAAGGCUCAGACAGCCAGGAUGUUGGCUUAGAAGCAGCCAUCAUUUAAAGAAAGCGUAAUAGCUCACUGGUCGAGUCGGCCUGCGCGGAAGAUGUAACGGGGCUAAAUUAUGCACCGAAGCCGCGGCAGCGAUAUGUAAAUAUUGUUGGGUAGGGGAGCGUUCUGUAAGCCUGUGAAGGUGACCUGUGAGGGUUGCUGGAGGUAUCAGAAGUGCGAAUGCUGACAUAAGUAACGAUAAUGCGGGUGAAAAACCCGCACGCCGGAAGACCAAGGGUUCCUGUCCAACGUUAAUCGGGGCAGGGUGAGUCGACCCCUAAGGCGAGGCUGAAAAGCGUAGUCGAUGGGCAACGGGUUAAUAUUCCCGUACUGGUGGUAACUGCGAAGGGGGGACGGAGAAAGCUAAAUCAUCCGGGCGACGGUUGUCCCGGUUUAAGCGUGCAGGUGGACUGACCAGGCAAAUCCGGUCGGUUGUUAACACUGAGGCGUGACGACGAGCCACUACGGUGGUGAAGUGAUUGAUGCUCUGCUUCCGGGAAAAGCCUCUAAGCUCCAGGUUACCAUUAAUCGUACCCCAAACCGACACAGGUGGUCAGGUAGAGAAUACUCAGGCGCUUGAGAGAACUCGGGUGAAGGAACUAGGCAAAAUGGUGCCGUAACUUCGGGAGAAGGCACGCUGGCA